AUGCUUCAGAGGAGACGAAUGGAGAGAUUGCCUGCACUGCACCUGGCAGUGGUGUCUCUGCUAGGCUUCUUCUGCCUCAUCCAUGCUUCAAGGGCUGCGACUUCAUUCCCACCUGCGGCCCCGAGGGUGCCCCUGCAGAAGACCGACGCAGUCCUAGCUUCCAGUGGAGAUAGCCAGGCCGCCGUCGUAGUGGCAGAGCCCGACCGCGGCGGUGUCAGCAGAAGGAUAGAGAGGGAGAUGGAGCUGGAGGACUACCCGGGGUCCGGGGCCAACGACCGCCACUCGCCGUGGUGGCGGCAAGAGAGGAGGAACUGA
rnacentral:rRNA from 1 species